rnacentral:rRNA from 1 species
UACGUAGGGGGCAAGCGUUGUCCGGAUUCAUUGGGCGUAAAGAGCGUGUAGGCGGCCAGGUAGGUCGGUUGUGAAAACUGGAGGCUCAACCUUCAGAGGUCGACCGAAACCAUCUGGCUAGAGUUCGGUAGGGGAGACUGGAAUUCCUGGUGUAGCGGUGAAAUGCGCAGAUAUCAGGAGGAACACCGGUGGCGAAGGCGGGUCUCUGGGCCGAUACUGACGCUGAGGAGCGAAAAGCGUGGGGAGCGAACAGG